GCCUGGGUGGCUCAGUGGUUGAGCGCCUGCCUUAGGCUCAGGUCAUGAUCCUGGGGUCCUGGGAUCCAGUCCCGCUUCGGGCU
rnacentral:tRNA from 1 species